UACAGAGACUGCGAGCGUUAUUCGGAUUCACUGGGCGUAAAGGGUGCGCAGGCGGCCAAGUGUGUGAGGCGUGAAAGCCCGGGGCUUAACCCCGGAAUUGCACCUCAAACUACAUGGCUAGAGCAUUGGAGAGGGUAGCGGAAUUCACGGUGUAGCAGUGAAAUGCGUAGAUAUCGGGAGGAACACCAAUGGCGAAGGCAGCUUGCUGGGACGGUACUGACGCUGAGACGCGAAAGCGUGGGGAGCAAACAGG
rnacentral:rRNA from 1 species